rnacentral:rRNA from 1 species
AUUGAACGCUGGCGGCAGGCUUAACACAUGCAAGUCGAGCGGGGGAAGGUAGCUUGCUACCGGACCUAGCGGCGGACGGGUGAGUAAUGCUUAGGAAUCUGCCUAUUAGUGGGGGACAACAUCUCGAAAGGGAUGCUAAUACCGCAUACGUCCUACGGGAGAAAGCAGGGGAUCUUCGGACCUUGCGCUAAUAGAUGAGCCUAAGUCGGAUUAGCUAGUUGGUGGGGUAAAGGCCUACCAAGGCGACGAUCUGUAGCGGGUCUGAGAGGAUGAUCCGCCACACUGGGACUGGAACACGGCCCAGACUCCGACGGGAGGCAGCAGUGGGGAAUAUUGGACAAUGGGGGGAACCCUGAUCCAGCCAUGCCGCGUGUGUGAAGAAGGCCUUAUGGUUGUAAAGCACUUUAAGCGAGGAGGAGGCUACUCUAGUUAAUACCUAGGGAUAGUGGACGUUACUCGCAGAAUAAGCACCGGCUAACUCUGUGCCAGCCGCCGCCGUAA